UACCCGAGCCACAAGUGGUGACCACGUUUAUUGGGCUUAGAGCGUUCGUAGCCGGCUAUUCAAGUCUCUAAUGAAAUCCAGCAGCUAACUGUUGGGCGUGUUAGGGAUACUGUUUAGCUUGGGACCGGGAGAGGUCUGGGGUAUUCUUGGGGUAGGAGUAAAAUCCUAUAAUCCCAAGAGGACCACCUGUGGCGAAGGCGCCAGACUAGAACGGAUCCGACGGUGAGGGACGAAAGCUAGGGGAGCGAAGCGGAUUAGAUACCCGCGUA
rnacentral:rRNA from 1 species